AGAAAUGGUGCCUGAAACAGGGUAAUUUUGAUAGAAUUAAGCAUGUAGGUUACAGCCCUACCCCUUCUA
rnacentral:tRNA from 1 species